rnacentral:rRNA from 1 species
UACGGAGGGAGCUAGCGUUGUUCGGAAUUACUGGGCGUAAAGCGCACGUAGGCGGCUUUGUAAGUUAGAGGUGAAAGCCCGGGGCUCAACCCCGGAAUUGCCUUUAAGACUGCAUCGCUUGAAUCCGGGAGAGGUGAGUGGAAUUCCGAGUGUAGAGGUGAAAUUCGUAGAUAUUCGGAAGAACACCAGUGGCGAAGACGGCUCACUGGACCGGUAUUGACGCUGAGGUGCGCAAGCGUGGGGAGCAAACAGG